ensembl:ncRNA T05C12.12 ncRNA
UGUAACGGGGUCAAAAAUUAGACAAAACGAGGACAAAUGUGAUUGCCGGGAAACUGAAGAGAGAUUCAUUCUACUUGAAGAAAUCUUCGUGACAUACUUUCUAAUUUCUAUUUCAUUUAUU